AAUCGGAAAAAGAUGUUGUUGAUGGCUUUUCGAAUGAACGGCCGGUGUACCAUGAACUUCCCAUAGAUGCGAUGCAAGAUUGUUUUGAGAUAGUCCCGCUCUCGGGGAUCCUCCGAGUCGAAGAGUUCCAGGAGCUUCAGCACGAAAGUAUUGUCGAUAUAUUUUUUCCCCACCUUCGCGUCGACCUCGUUUGACACGACAUAGCGCAACAGGAACUCGUAAACUAUUUGGAGGUGCGGCCAGGAAGGCUCCAGCGUUGGUUCCUCCUCCUCAGGGUCAAAGUUGUCUCCCGCAGCGCUUCCUGUGAUCUCGUGAUUCGAAGGCGGCAGACCUCGAAAGAGGUUCUGCGCCAGCAUGUACGAAAUGUCCUCGAACACUGCCUCCGUAAACUUACCCUGCCCCUGGUUGACGUAGUCCACCAACUCUAACAAAGUCUGCCGUUUGAUCUCCUUCUCCCUGACAUUAGCAGUAGCAUCUGUGAAAUCGAAGGUGUAUGAGCAGAGCUGCAGCUUCUUGAUGAAGAGGUUCUGCCUCUCCGAUGCGACGACGUCGCGGAACGAAAAAGCGGCUUGUUCUUAUCGUACAGAACCUCCAUGGGAGGUAUGUUCCCGGAGCUCGAGCUCGGGUUUUCCUUGGAACCCGGUCGAGCACCGGAGGCCGGUGGCCGGGAUCCGGAUACCUGCCCAGGACCCGCAGGUCUCCCGGUCUUCGUCUCGGGCGCCCCGCCCUCGGAUUUUUUCCGACCCACACCGGAGAGCUUACUCUUAACGCUCUUCAACAUUAUCGUAGGCGAUCUAGCUGCACGACGACGCGCGACUUUGGAUCCUCGACCCGACCCAACGAGCCGCUCUCCGGAUCGGCACCGGCGUGGUUGCUUGUAUUUUCUCCCGUUUCAACAAAAGCGGGUGGGUUGCUUCGCCGGCCAACACGAAGCACGGAGGGCAGGAAGGGCGCGACCUGGACCCUGUGAUUCGGAUUUAAAGUCCGAUCGUCCUGUUGAACUGCGGCUACGCUAGUCGUCUACGCAGCACCCGCGCGCAGGCUGCUCACCAAUGCCCAACACCGGGUCACAGUCUUGUUGUCUACGAAGGCGGUCCCCAAAAAAGCAGCAGCAGCAGGGGAGAUCCAGCUUAGUGUUAGCUCUAGCUCUGGAGACGGAAUAACGAA
rnacentral:lncRNA from 1 species